AUCCAGCUGACGAGUCCCAAAUGAGACGAAAAGCUUGUCUUGGAU
rnacentral:hammerhead_ribozyme from 1 species